GAUGAACGCUGGCGGCGUGCCUAAUACAUGCAAGUCGAGCGAACAGACGAGGAGCUUGCUCCUCUGACGUUAGCGGCGGACGGGUGAGUAACACGUGGAUAACCUACCUAUAAGACUGGGAUAACUUCGGGAAACCGGAGCUAAUACCGGAUAAUAUAUUGAACCGCAUGGUUCAAUAGUGAAAGACGGUUUUGCUGUCACUUAUAGAUGGAUCCGCGCCGCAUUAGCUAGUUGGUAAGGUAACGGCUUACCAAGGCAACGAUGCGUAGCCGACCUGAGAGGGUGAUCGGCCACACUGGACCUGAGACACGGUCCAGACUCCUACGGGAGGCAGCAGUAGGGAAUCUUCCGCAAUGGGCGAAAGCUUGACGGAGCAACGCCGCGUGAGUGAUGAAGGUCUUCGGCUCGUAAAACUCUGUUAUUAGGGAAGAACAAAUGUGUAAGUAACUAUGCACGUCUUGACGGUACCUAAUCAGAAAGCCACGGCUAACUACGU
rnacentral:rRNA from 1 species